rnacentral:rRNA from 1 species
GGCCAUAUCACGUUGAAACACCGGUUCCCGUACGAUCACCGAAGUUAAGCAACGUCGAGCCUGGUCAGUACCUAGAUGGGUGACCGCUUGGGAAUACCAGGUGCUGUAA